UACGAAGGGGGCUAGCGUUAUUCGGAUUCACUGGGCGUAAAGGGUGCGUAGGCGGCGCGGUAAGUCGGGUGUGAAAUCUCGGAGCUUAACUCCGAAACUGCAUUCGAUACUGCCGUGCUUGAGGACUGGAGAGGAGACUGGAAUUUACGGUGUAGCGGUGAAAUGCGUAGAUAUCGUAAGGAAGACCAGUGGCGAAGGCGGGUCUCUGGACAGUUCCUGACGCUGAGGCACGAAGGUCAGGGGAGCAAACGGG
rnacentral:rRNA from 1 species